rnacentral:rRNA from 1 species
GCCGUGCCCUUUUGGGUAUGGCUUUUGGAACGAGAGAAACACAGAAUCCACAUCGAGGAUCAAUUGGAGGGCAAGUCUGGUGCCAGCAGCCGCGGUAAUUCCAGCUUCAGUAGCGUAUAUUAAAGUUGUUGCAGUUAAAAAGCUCGUAGCCGCAUUUCUGGAGCGAAGAGUCGGUCCGAUCUUAGAUUGGUACUUGACUGUUUCGCUCCAUCUUUGAGUGGUGCAUUCUGGCAUUAGGUUGUCGGAGUGUUAGCCACUCAUCGUUUACUGUGAGAAAAUUAGAGUGUUCAAAGCAGGCUUAUGCCGUUGAAUAUAUUAGCAUGGAAUAAUAAGAUAGGACCUCGGUACUAUUUUGUUGGUUUGAGAACCAAGGUAAUGAUGAAUAGGGACAGUUGGGGGUAUUCGUAUUUCGUUGUCAGAGGUGAAAUUCUUGGAUUUCCGAAAGACGAACUACUGCGAAAGCAUUUACCAAGGAUGUUUUCAUUAAUCAAGAACGAAAGUUAGGGGAUC